rnacentral:rRNA from 1 species
UACGUAGGGUGCAAGCGUUAAUCGGAAUUAUUGGGCGUAAAGGGCGCGUAGGCGGUUCGAUAAGUCCUGUGUGAAAUCCCUCGGCUCAACUGAGGAACUGCACGGGAGACUGUCGGGCUUGAGUUCGGGAGAGGGAAGCGGAAUUCCGGGUGUAGCGGUGAAAUGCGUAGAUAUCCGGAGGAACACCGGUGGCGAAGGCGGCUUCCUGGACCGACACUGACGCUGAGGCGCGAAAGCUAGGGGAGCAAACGGG